AUCCAGCUGACGAGUCCCAAAUAGGACGAAUUGACGCGCAUCCUGUAU
rnacentral:hammerhead_ribozyme from 1 species